rnacentral:rRNA from 1 species
AGAACGAACGCUGGCGGCAGGCUUAACACAUGCAAGUCGAGCGCCCAGCAAUGGGAGCGGCGGACGGGUGAGUAACACGUGGGAACAUGCCUUUCGGUACGGAACAACUGCGGGAAACUGCAGCUAAUGCCGUAUGCGCCCUUACGGGGAAAGAUUUAUCGCCGAAAGAUUGGCCCGCGUCUGAUUAGCUAGUUGGUGAGGUAACGGCUCACCAAGGCUUCGAUCAGUAGCUGGUUUGAGAGAACGACCAGCCACACUGGGACUGAGACACGGCCCAGACUCCUACGGGAGGCAGCAGUGGGGAAUCUUGGACAAUGGGGGAAACCCUGAUCCAGCCAUGCCGCGUGAGUGAUGAAGGCCUUCGGGUUGUAAAACUCUUUUACCAGGAAGAUAAUGACUGUACCUGGAGAAUAAGCCCGGCUAACUUCGCGCCAGCAGCCGC